AUGCCAUGGUGUGGGCAUGCUGCAAUGUAUUCCUGAAGACAUUCCCAGGCUUUCGGAAUUGUCUCAUCCUUGAGUUGUUCAAAACUAGAAAUUCUUUUUCGUAGGGCAU